GGAAGACAUUCUUGGCAGGUUCUUGCAGGCAAUGAGCCCGCAUUAGAUUUAACCUAAUAAUAGUAAAUCUUAAUAACUCAUCACCUUUGAGCCCGCAUUAGAUUUAACCUAAUAAUAGUAAAUCUUAGUAACUCAUCACCUUUUGCAUGGCAUUUGAUUAGCUUUCUCCAUUCCCACUCUUGGCCAUUAUAUUUUGCAGGGCAUUUGUAAAAGGAAAACUAUGCAGUGAUGGCAGGGUAGUGGAGGAUUGGAGUCGGUGUUGGCUAUUGACAUAUAAAUUCCCUCUUCAUGCUAAGGAAAUAUGACAGGUCACAAAAUUUUCUUCUCCAAGUCUGCAAUAGGUUGCUCGAGAUAGGAUACUGAGGAGGUGGAAUAUGGAGCUGGGCAGUGACAGUGAAGGGCGCCAAAAUAUCCAGUGGUAGCGUAAUGCAUCUUAUAAAUUUUAGAUAUGCAAAGUGAGUUUCAGUUAUUUAUUGGUGGGAAGAUUAAACAUAUUUUUGUAGGAUUCUGGAUGUCUUGUUAACAAUUAUGGGGUAAGUUGAGGGAUGCCAUAAUUGUUUCUUUUCUAGAUGACUCAUUUGUAGAUAGCACUAAACAUUUUAGUCUGGAGUGGGGCGUGAGAGUUAGGGUAUAACUUGUAAUAAGUGAUUUUCCAUUGUUUCAAUUAUUUAUGUUUGACAAACAUUAUGCGACCUCCCCUGUGCACAAAUUAUGGUGGUGUCUGUUUGUGAUUUUCUGAACAUAUCAUCUUGCCUUCAAGAAGCACCAUCUGAAUUCCUUCCAGUUGUUGUCAUUCAAGGUUGGAUUUAUUUUUGAAGUUGUGUAACAUAAGAGGAGUUUGGCAUGGAGUUUUAUUUGUGGUUUCUUUGGUAUAAGGAGGGAUUUUCCAUCAUAUCCCUCUCAGGUGAGUUGGGACAAAGAAUCCAACACUCAGAAUAUAUUCUUGUUAUCAUGUGACAUGUGGUUGUGAGGGGGCAACAACAUAAAUGUUUGUAUAAAGCAUGUGCAUUCUUCAUGAAAUUGGCGGCAUGGGACUUGGAUUGGGGUCGUGGCUCUAUAUUGAACUGAUACGCUUGAAACCUAUAUUGAAAUUACAAUGGGAUCUAUAUUGAACCGAUUAUUUUCAGUACGCAGGAAGCCAUGUGGAUUGAUGGAGCUUUCUAUUUCUGUGCAUAAGGAUUUAUAUUUGCAGACAAGUUGUAUAUAAUUCAAAGUAAUUGUUGUAAUCUACAUUAUCAAAGAAUUUUUUUUAUUUGAGAUUAACUUCUCCUACAAAUAUUAUUGAGUUGGGUUUCAUUAUUUCA